rnacentral:rRNA from 1 species
AUUGAACGCUGGCGGCAGGCCUAACACAUGCAAGUCGAGCGGUAGAGAGGUGCUUGCACCUCUUGAGAGCGGCGGACGGGUGAGUAAAGCCUAGGAAUCUGCCUGGUAGCGGGGGAUAACGCUCGGAAACGGACGCUAAUACCGCAUACGUCCUACGGGAGAAAGCAGGGGACCUUCGGGCCUUGCGCUAUCAGAUGAGC